AUGUGUGCUGAUCCCUGGGCUCACACAGACUGGUAUGAAGCAAGCUGACGUUCCACCAGCCUCUGCAGCAGUGGAGUUGCCUCUUUUGCUUUGCCUUGACAGGCAUGAUGUAAAAUUUACUGAGAUCUGAAAUCUAUGACUGAGUGAUGGUGGAUCCAGUUCAGAACCUGGGCGACUCCUUCAGCUGCAGCAUAGGUGCCUGCCUGGUUCGCCCUCUCUCCUGUGCAGACUCAAGAGCCUGGAUAAAGCUCAGCCUGAGACGCAACCAAGAGCCUUUGGGAGCUUGCAGUUUCAUGCUAAAUUAGCAGCCGAUCGUGCAACAGCCUAAUUCUGAUUGAUGGUCUCAGCCUGAUACCUGCUGCACUCCUCCUGGUGGCAGCUGGCUGAGAAUGGUACAUUCACACUAUUUACACACUGAGAUCAAAGGGAAAUGCACACAGGCACAAUGGCAAAAGAAGUCUUGACUGCCACCACGUACAGCCCUCUGCUGAAGGAAAUGUCAACAGCACAGCCUUGAAAUGCUGCAGAAGAGCCAACCCAGGUGCCCCAGUCUCCAGGCAAGACAACGGAGCAGCUUGAAGAUCUACUUGUGGAUUCCAGUCCGAGUCGUACAGAAUGACAACGUCAGCAGUGGCCAAAUUGAUGCCGAGACCUCCUGCCCGUGU